rnacentral:lncRNA from 1 species
UGCGCACGGAAGGCGUACCUCGUCUACCCAUCCGUCCUUGUACUCGACGAUGUAGGGGUUGCUGAGGCUCGCCAUCAGGGACAUCUGCGGCAGGAAGCAAGGGGCGGAGCAGGUAUCCGUGUCACUUGCUUCGUCUCACAGAGCAGGUAGGGAGAAUGAAUAUGAAUCGGGCACGAAUUUGAGCAAAACACCGAGUUUUUCUUUUCCCCAUGGAUGAAUAAUUGUUGCUAUUUACUUAUUUUUGUUCUACUUGUUACUGAAGCAGCAGACGCUGCCUGCUUUGGUGCAUAUGCAGGUGUGGACAUGGCCGGCGUGGCGGCCUCUGCUUUGCGGUCGAGUGGAAUGGAAGGGUUGUGUGUUAC